rnacentral:misc_RNA from 1 species
GAUGAAGAACGUAGCGAAAUGCGAUAAGUAAUGUGAAUUGCAGAAUUCAGUGAAUCAUCGAAUCUUUGAACGCACCUUGCGCUCGUUGGUAUUCCGACGAGCAUGCCUGUUUGAGUGUCAUUAAAUUCUCAACCUCAUCGCUUUUGUGAUGAUGGCUUGGAUGUGGAGGUUUUCUGCAGGCCGAAAGGUCUGCUCCUCUCAAAUGAAUUAGUGGGUGCCCCGCGCAAACCUAUCUAUUGGUGUGAUAAUUAUCUACGCCGUGGAUCUUAGGAUUGCUGUAAAAAGGUGUUUGCCCCGCUUCUAACUGUCGUCAGACAUCUUGAACCAUUUGACCUCAAAUCAGGUAGGACUACCCGCUGAACUUAAGCAUAUCAAUAAGCGGAGGA